UACAGAGGUCUCAAGCGUUUGUUCGGAUUCAUUGGGCGUAAAGGGUGCGUAGGCGGCGCGGUAAGUCGGGUGUGAAAUCUUGGAGCUUAACUCCGAAACUGCAUUCGAUACUGCCGUGCUUGAGGACUGGAGAGGAGACUGGAAUUUACGGUGUAGCGGUGAAAUGCGUAGAUAUCGUAAGGAAGACCAGUGGCGAAGGCGGGUCUCUGGACAGUUCCUGACGCUGAGGCACGAAGGCCAGGGGGAGCAAACAGG
rnacentral:rRNA from 1 species